UACGAAGGGGGCGAGCGUUGUUCGGAAUUACUGGGCGUAAAGGGCGCGUAGGCGGCCGAUCAAGUCAGACGUGAAAGUCCUGGGCUUAACCUGGGGACUGCAUUUGAUACUGAUUGGCUUGAAUUCGGGAGAGGAUAGCGGAAUUCCCAGUGUAGAGGUGAAAUUCGUAGAUAUUGGGAAGAACACCGGUGGCGAAGGCGGCUAUCUGGACCGACAUUGACGCUGAGGCGCGAAAGCGUGGGGAGCAAACAGG
rnacentral:rRNA from 1 species